AACGAACGCUGGCGGCAGGCUUAACACAUGCAAGUCGAACGGUUGUAGCAAUACAGCAGUGGCAGACGGGUGAGUAACACGUGGGAACCUUCCUAGGGGUACGGAACAACUCAGGGAAACUUGAGCUAAUACCGUAUACGUCCGUGAGGAGAAAGAUUUAUCGCCCUUAGACGGGCCCGCGUCCUAUUAGUUAGUUGGUGAGGUAACGGCUCACCUAGGCAAUGAUAGGUAGGCGGCCUUAACGGGUGGUCGCCCACACUGGGAUUGAGAUACGGCCCAGACUCCUACGGGAGGCAGCAGUCGAGAAUAGUCUACAAUGGUCGGAAGACUGAUAGUGCGACGCCGCGUGAACGAUGAAUCCCUUCGGGGUGUAAAGUUCUUUUAUAUGUGAGCAGUGCUUCUUAUAUUAACAGUAUGGGGAGAGAGAUAUUAGCAUAUGAAUAAGCAACGGCUAACUCCGUG
rnacentral:rRNA from 1 species